rnacentral:tRNA from 1 species
GCCGAGGUAGCUUAGCCCGGGAGGAUAGCCAUCUUAUGAUGGCAUUGGUUCCCGUCAGCGCUGGACUGAAGAUCCAGUUGUCGUGCGUUCAAAUCGCACCCUCGGCA